CGGCUAACUCCGUGCCAGCAGCCGCGGUAAUACGGAGGAUCCAAGCGUUAUCCGGAUUUAUUGGGUUUAAAGGGUGCGUAGGCGGGACAUUAAGUCAGUGGUGAAAUCUUCCAGCUCAACUGGGAAACUGCCUUUGAUACUGUUGUUCUUGAGUUUGGUUGAAGUGGGCGGAAUGAGGCAUGUAGCGGUGAAAUGCUUAGAUUUGCCUCAGAACACCGAUUGCGAAGGCAGCUUACUAAACCAAUACUGACGCUGAGGCACGAAAGCGUGGGUAGCGAACAGGAUUAGAUACCCUGGUAGUCCACGCCGUAAACGAUGAUUACUCGCUGUUGGCGAUACACUGUGAGCGGCUAAGCGAAAGUGAUAAGUAAUCCACCUGGGAGUACGUUCGCAAGAAUGAAACUCAAAGGAAUUGACGGGGGCCCGCACAAGCGGUGGGAGCAUGUGGUUUAAUUCGAUGAUACGCGAG
rnacentral:rRNA from 1 species